CAACCCUGGUGGCGAGUGGCGAACGGGUGAGUAAUACAUCGGAACGUGCCCAGUCGUGGGGGAUAACUACGCGAAAGCGUAGCUAAUACCGCAUACGAUCUACGGAUGAAAGCGGGGGAUCGCAAGACCUCGCGCGAUUGGAGCGGCCGAUGGCAGAUUAGGUAGUUGGUGGGGUAAAGGCUCACCAAGCCGACGAUCUGUAGCUGGUCUGAGAGGACGACCAGCCACACUGGGACUGAGACACGGCCCAGACUCCUACGGGAGGCAGCAGUGGGGAAUUUUGGAAAUGGGCGCAAGCCUGAUCCAGCCAUUCCGCGUGCAGGAUGAAGGCCCUCGGGUUGUAAACUGCUUUUGUACGGAACGAAAAGGCUCCCUCUAAUACAGGGGGCUCAUGACGGUACCGUAAGAAUAAGCACCGGCUAACUACGUGCCAGCAGCCGCGGUAAUACGUAGGGUGCGGGCGUUAAUCGGAAUUACUGGGCGUAAAGCGUGCGCAGGCGGUGAUGUAAGACAGUUGUGAAAUCCCCGGGCUCAACCUGGGAACUGCAUCUGUGACUGCAUCGCUGGAGUGCGGCAGAGGGGGAUGGAAUUCCGCGUGUAGCAGUGAAAUGCGUAGAUAUGCGGAGGAACACCGAUGGCGAAGGCAAUCCCCUGGGCCUGCACUGACGCUCAUGCACGAAAGCGUGGGGAGCAAACAGGAUCAGAUACCCUGGUAGUCCACGCCCUAAACGAUGUCAACUGGUUGUUGGGUCUUCACUGACUCAGUAACGAAGCUAACGCGUGAAGUUGACCGCCUGGGGAGUACGG
rnacentral:rRNA from 1 species